rnacentral:rRNA from 1 species
GAUCGAGCUUUACCAUGCAGUCGAGCGGGGGAGGUAGCUUGCUACCGGACCUAGCGGCGGACGGGUGAGUAAUGCUUAGGAAUCUGCCUAUUAGUGGGGGACAACAUCUCGAAAGGGAUGCUAAUACCGCAUACGUCCUACGGGAGAAAGCAGGGGAUCUUCGGACCUUGCGCUAAUAGAUGAGCCUAAGUCGGAUUAGCUAGUUGGUGGGGUAAAGGCCUACCAAGGCGACGAUCUGUAGCGGGUCUGAGAGGAUGAUCCGCCACACUGGGACUGAGACACGGCCCAGACUCCUACGGGAGGCAGCAGUGGGGAAUAUUGGACAAUGGGGGGAACCCUGAUCCAGCCAUGCCGCGUGUGUGAAGAAGGCCUUAUGGUUGUAAAGCACUUUAAGCGAGGAGGAGGCUACUUUAGUUAAUACCUAGAGAUAGUGGACGUUACUCGCAGAAUAAGCACCGGCUAACUCUGUGCCAGCAGCCGCGGUAAUACAGAGGGUGCGAGCGUUAAUCGGAUUUACUGGGCGUAAAGCGUGCGUAGGCGGCUUAUUAAGUCGGAUGUGAAAUCCCCGAGCUUAACUUGGGAAUUGCAUUCGAUACUGGUGAGCUAGAGUAUGGGAGAGGAUGGUAGAAUUCCAGGUGUAGCGGUGAAAUGCGUAGAGAUCUGGAGGAAUACCGAUGGCGAAGGCAGCCAUCUGGCCUAAUACUGACGCUGAGGUACGAAAGCAUGGGGAGCAAACAGGAUUAGAUACCCUGGUAGUCCAUGCCGUAAACGAUGUCUACUAGCCGUUGGGGCCUUUGAGGCUUUAGUGGCGCAGCUAACGCGAUAAGUAGACCGCCUGGGGAGUACGGUCGCAAGACUAAAACUCAAAUGAAUUGACGGGGGCCCGCACAAGCGGUGGAGCAUGUGGUUUAAUUCGAUGCAACGCGAAGAACCUUACCUGGCCUUGACAU